rnacentral:RNase_P_RNA from 1 species
CAAGUUGGCCGGGCAGUCGCGGCCGGAAUUUCCGGCCGAGGAAAGUCCGCACUCCAUAGAGCACGGCGCCGGCUAACAGCCGGGCGGGGUAACCCGACGGAACAGGGCAACAGAGAGGUAUAUUGCCUAUGCAACUGUAUAGUUGCAGGCGAGGGUGAAACGGUGGUGUAAGAGACCACCGGCAGCGGCAGUAAUGUCACUGGCCAGGCAAACCCCGCCGGGAGCAAGACCAAGCAGGAUGAAAAACGGUUACGGCCGUUUACGGGGUUGCUCGUCCCGUCAGACAUCCGGGUAGGUCGCUUGAGGCCGUUAGUAAUAACGCGCCCAGAUAGAUGACUGCCACCAUUUGCUGCGGCAAGUGGCACAGAAUGCGGCUUACAGGCCGACUUGCGAU